GAAGACAGACCCAGGGAACUGAAACAUCUAAGUACCUGGAGGAAGAGAAAGCAAAUGCGAUUUCCUGAGUAGCGGCGAGCGAAACGGGAUUAGCCCAAACCAGGAGGCUUGCCUCCUGGGGUUGUAGGACACUCUACACGGAGUUACAAAGGAACGGAGUAAAUGAACAGGCAUGGAAAGGCCGGCCAUAGAGGGUAACAGCCCCGUAGUUG
rnacentral:rRNA from 1 species